rnacentral:rRNA from 1 species
UGUAGUAAUACAAGGCAGACGGCUCAGUAACGCGUAGUCAACCUACCCUAUGGACGGGGAUAACCUCGAGAAACUGAGAAUAAUACCCGAUAGAACAUUAUGCCUGGAAUGGUUUAUGUUUCAAAUAAUUUAUUGCCGUAGGAUGGGACUGCGGCCUAUCAGUUUGUUGGUGAGGUAAUGGCCCACCAAGACUAUUACAGGUACGGGCUCUGAGAGGAGUAGCCCGGAGAUGGGUACUGAGACACGGACCCAGGCCCUAUGGGGCGCAGCAGGCGAGAAAACUUUGCAAUGUGCGAAAGCACGACAAGGUUAAUCCGAGUGGUUUCUGCUAAAGGAACCUUUUGUCAGUCCUAGAAACACUGAUGAAUAAGGGGUGGGCAAGUUCUGGUGUCAGCCGCCGCGGUAAAACCAGCACCUCAAGUGGUCAGGAUGAUUAUUGGGCCUAAAGCAUCCGUAGCCUGCUUUGUUAGUUUUCGGUUAAAUCCAUACGCUCAACGUAUGGGCUGCCGGGAAUACUGCAAAGCUAGGGAGUGGGAGAGGUAGACGGUACUCGGUAGGAAGGGGUAAAAUCCUUUGAUCUAUUGAUGACCACCUGUGGCGAAGGCGGUCUACCAGAACACGUCCGACGGUGAGGGAUGAAAGCUGGGGGAGCAAACCGGAUUAGAUACCCGGGUAGUCCCAGCUGUAAACUAUGCAAACUCAGUGAUGCAUUGGCUUGAUGCCAAUGCAGUGCUGCAGGGAAGCCGUUAAGUUUGCCGCCUGGGAAGUACGUACGCAAGUAUGAAACUUAAAGGAAUUGGCGGGGGAGCACCACAAGGGGUGAAGCCUGCGG